UUGUCCAUUUCCUGUUCAUUUAGGUGGCUUCUGUUCUGACCUAAUGUCAAGCUCACAGAGGAUGCUCAAUGAAUAUGUGCAUGGCGACUAAAUGCUGAGAUCAAGAGAUGGAGAGGAAAACAAAAUGAAAGAAGGAAGGCUUAAUAAGAACCAGAAAUUGAAGUGGGUACAGAGGAGAGGAACUGCACAGGGCCAUGAGCUAUACAAAUGGAGCAUUAGAAGAUUCUGGCUGCAGAACCUUGGAGUAGCUGCCCAGCUGACUUGAACUUGUCAAGACAGACCCGAGAAUAAGGCUGUAGCACAGACCGAGAACGUAAUUUGUGCACUUCAGACUGCCGUCAAAGGGCCUCAACCAUGUUUUAAGAUUACGACCUAAAGGAGAGCCUUCAUUUCACUUGAAUGUUGACAGCAGAGAAGCCCAGCAGUGAACCCAGACGAUCCCUCUGGCUUCGGGAUGACUCACUCUGAUGCCUCCUCCCCCAGCACAUGGGCCACGUAGAUGAUGUCAGCGUACCCCAUGCAGCUGGAGAUGUUGUUUCAGAUAUAGUAGAAGAGAAAGAUGAGGCACAUCUCAUUAACGGUGCUGGGACCCCCCUGGAGAAGAAGAGAGAGAGAGAGAGAUGGAGAGACAGAGAUACACAGGCAUGCAGAGAGAGAGGAACAAGGUAGGCAGAAACUAGAUUAGGUGAUCAUUCUACCAAUGAGACUGUUUUCCUUUUCCCUUAACCUUGAGCCAGCUCACUAAUUGUUAUUUACUACUUCUCACCACAUUUGCUUUCUCCUCCUGUGUUUCUAAUUGGUGGACAAUUAUUGAUAUUAUUUCCAAAGAAAUAUCCCACGUAUCUUCCCCAUCCUCUACAUUUCCAUUGUUAUUGCCCUGGUUUGAGAAAAGAUGGUUGAGAAGAUGAGAUAAGAUACCGAGUUUCCCAAAAAAGCCACUCCCUUGAGCUUCCCUGGAAUUCCCCAUCUCUACAUGUCAAAAGCAGGACCCACUCAAAUAUGUCACAUGUUCAGGUCACUGUAAUAGGACCUGAUGAUUUUUUUCCCCUGUGAAUUCCCCUAGUGCGUUUUCCCCAUACUUCUCUUACGGUGUAUUUUACUUUCUAACUUGUGUUGUAAUCAUUUGUAUGGCUGUAUUUUCUUCCUUGGAAGCAUGCAAUCCAUUUUGAAUCCUACAGACACUGAGACAUUCCUGACACACAAAAUAUGGGUUCCUUGUGACAGUAAUAAUAAUAGCUAACUCUGACAAUCUACUAAAAGUCGGGCAAUGAUCUAGAUGUUUUAGGCGUGUUAAUCAACUCUCCCCUAAAUCUUAUGAGAUAGAUAGUAUUAAUUCUUUUGAGAAUUAGGAAACUGAGACACAAGGAAUCUGAAUAAUUUGUCUAAGGUUAUGAAGUUAUUAAUGAUCAUGUUGACAUUCAGACCCAGGCGAUCAGGCCCAGAGUCCACGCUCUUAGACACUAUCACAUGCUUUCCUUUCAUAAUCUUAGUGGGUUGUUGACAGAGAAAACGGGAAUCCUUGUACCCAUCUUACAGUCAUGGAGAUGUGAGAGCAUGAAGCCCCAUGUGCCUGGGUAAUACCAUUGGAGAAAGAAAGGGGCUUCAGCUGGAAUAAUCUGAGUCACGUGAUGGCCAAGGCCAGGGAUGGGGCUCUAUUCUGAGGCUACUGUCAUUGACCACGAUGGGGAGAGAGGUACUUACAAAAGUCAAGGAGUCGUGGUCCAGCGUCUGAUGGUGACACCCUACCAACAAUUCAUCUCCCUGUGCAGAGCGAAACAAAGGCUCAAAGUAAGACACAGAGGGACUGGUACAGUCCUCUUGGCUAACAGUAAUGAGU